rnacentral:rRNA from 1 species
AACGAACGCUGGCGGCAUGCCUAACACAUGCAAGUCGAACGAGACCUUCGGGUCUAGUGGCGCACGGGUGCGUAACGCGUGGGAACCUGCCCUUAGGUUCGGAAUAACUCCCCGAAAGGGGUGCUAAUACCGGAUAAUGUCUUCGGACCAAAGAUUUAUCGCCUUUGGAUGGGCCCGCGUUGGAUUAGCUAGUUGGUAGGGUAAAAGCCUACCAAGGCGACGAUCCAUAGCUGGUCUGAGAGGAUGAUCAGCCACACUGGGACUGAGACACGGCCCAGACUCCUACGGGAGGCAGCAGUGGGGAAUAUUGGACAAUGGGCGAAAGCCUGAUCCAGCAAUGCCGCGUGAGUGAUGAAGGCCUUAGGGUUGUAAAGCUCUUUUACCCGGGAUGAUAAUGACAGUACCGGGAGAAUAAGCUCCGGCGACUCCGUG